CCUACGGGAGGCAGCAGUGGGGAAUAUUGCACAAUGGGGGAAACCCUGAUGCAGCGACGCCGCGUGAGUGAAGAAGUAUUUCGGUAUGUAAAGCUCUAUCAGCAGGGAAGAAAUAAAGUCCUUCGGACUUUGGACGGUACCUGACUAAGAAGCCCCGGCUAACUACGUGCCAGCAGCCGCGGUAAUACGGAGGAUGCGAGCGUUAUCCGGAUUUAUUGGGUUUAAAGGGUGCGCAGGCGGAAGAUCAAGUCAGCGGUAAAAUUGAGAGGCUCAACCUCUUCGAGCCGUUGAAACUGGUUUUCUUGAGUGAGCGAGAAGUAUGCGGAAUGCGUGGUGUAGCGGUGAAAUGCAUAGAGAUCAUACAGAACACCGAUUGCGAAGGCAGCUUACCAAACUACGACUGACGUUGAGGCACGAAAGCGUGGGGAGCAAACAGGAUUAGAUACCCCGGUAGUC
rnacentral:rRNA from 1 species